GACGAACGCUGGCGGCGUGCUUAACACAUGCAAGUCGAACGGAAAGGCCCUGCUUUUGUGGGGUGCUCGAGUGGCGAACGGGUGAGUAACACGUGAGUAACCUGCCCUUGACUUUGGGAUAACUUCAGGAAACUGGGGCUAAUACCGGAUAGGAGCUCCUGCUGCAUGGUGGGGGUUGGAAAGUUUCGGCGGUUGGGGAUGGACUCGCGGCUUAUCAGCUUGUUGGUGGGGUAGUGGCUUACCAAGGCUUUGACGGGUAGCCGGCCUGAGAGGGUGACCGGCCACAUUGGGACUGAGAUACGGCCCAGACUCCUACGGGAGGCAGCAGUGGGGAAUAUUGCACAAUGGGCGGAAGCCUGAUGCAGCAACGCCGCGUGCGGGAUGACGGCCUUCGGGUUGUAAACCGCUUUCGCCUGUGACGAAGCGUGAGUGACGGUAAUGGGUAAAGAAGCACCGGCUAACUACGUGCCAGCAGCCGCGGUGAUACGUAGGGUGCGAGCGUUGUCCGGAUUUAUUGGGCGUAAAGGGCUCGUAGGUGGUUGAUCGCGUCGGAAGUGUAAUCUUGGGGCUUAACCCUGAGCGUGCUUUCGAUACGGGUUGACUUGAGGAAGGUAGGGGAGAAUGGAAUUCCUGGUGGAGCGGUGGAAUGCGCAGAUAUCAGGAGGAACACCAGUGGCGAAGGCGGUUCUCUGGGCCUUUCCUGACGCUGAGGAGCGAAAGCGUGGGGAGCGAACAGGCUUAGAUACCCUGGUAGUCCACGCUGUAAACGGUGGGUACUAGGUGUGGGGUCCAUUCCACGGGUUCCGUGCCGUAGCUAACGCUUUAAGUACCCCGCCUGGGGAGUACGGCCGCAAGGCUAAAACUCAAAGGAAUUGACGGGGCCCCGCACAAGCGGCGGAGCAUGCGGAUUAAUUCGAUGCAACGCGUAGAACCUUACCUGGGUUUGACAUGGAUCGGGAGUGCUCAGAGAUGGGUGUGCCUCUUUUGGGGUCGGUUCACAGGUGGUGCAUGGCUGUCGUCAGCUCAUGUCGUGAGAUGUUGGGUUAAGUCCCGCAACGAGCGCAACCCUUGUUCAUUGUUGCUAGCACGUUAUGGUGGGGACUCAGUGGAGACCGCCGGGGUCAACUCGGAGGAAGGUGGGGAUGACGUCAAGUCAUCAUGCCCCUUAUGUCCAGGGCUUCACGCAUGCUACAAUGGCUGGUACAGAGAGUGGCGAGCCUGUGAGGGUGAGCGAAUCUCGGAAAGCCGGUCUCAGUUCGGAUUGGGGUCUGCAACUCGACCUCAUGAAGUCGGAAUCGCUAGUAAUCGCAGAUCAGCAACGCUGCGGUGAAUACGUUCCCGGGGCU
rnacentral:rRNA from 1 species